ncrna:unclassified sequences RT-18 RNA
CACCGCUUGGUGAAAAUGGGCCGUAAAUGGCACCGGUUAGUAGCACGAUUGAAAGCCGGUGAGGCUAACAAAGAG